CUCAUUUACUUUAACUUGACUUUAAUUGAAUUUACUGUUUAUGAAAACUGCAUGUUGACAGAGUGUUACGUAUUAGUAAUUGAAUUGUAUUAUAUAUUUUUUUUUCAAAGUCAUUUCUUAAAUUGCAACGAAAAUAAUAUCGUAAAGGAUAACUCAUGUGCUCCAUUUUUGACUUGAGUAAAACGGUUCCUCAGUAUGGUGUCACACCACUAAUUCAUUCAAUUAGCAUUUAGAAAAUGUAAAUACAAUUGAGAAAGGAAAUGGGGAAUGUGUCAAAGCGACAACAACCCAACCAUAGAGCAGACAACAGCCGAAGGCCACCAAUGGGUCUUCAAUGUAGCGAGAAAACCUACUCUGACAAAUAAAUGAAACUUCACUUAAGGUCAAGGAUCAGUAAAUGAACUAGUCCAUAGAUUUAAAAAAAAAAUAGAACUCAAUAAGAUAUUGAAAAUAUACAUCAGAAAAUGUACAAAAAGUAUAUGUCACCGAUGGUCCGAGA
rnacentral:lncRNA from 1 species